GACAACAUGGCGCCUCCAACUUUUAAACAGGAAAUGACGGAAUUUUACCGUACAUAUUUACAGCAGGUCUAUUCGGACGGGAUUAGUUUUACCUGAGGUCAUUUUUCCGGACCUUUUUACCGAAGGUAAAAGUCGCUGUAAUCUUUACUGACAUUGUCCGUAAUGAUUACCGAGAUGACACAUUCGGACGGGACUAAAAUCACAGAGAAGCUCUGGUAAUAAUUACUUUACCCCCACGUAAAACUAAUCCCGUCCGAAUAGGGCUUAUGUAAAUAAAUACAAACUAUAAAGUGUAGCUGACCCCAUCCUAAUGACGACCAAAACUUUACUGAUGGUCUUAAUGAAGUUUUAUUGAGCCUUGAUAACUCCAACAGAUCACAAUAAGACCUUAUGCCCUUUAGGGGGGUGUUAACAAAAAUAGUAGUGCCGUAGUGUUGUGAUGCUUUUCACCACCGUGAUCCGUGACUGCAAUGGAUGCUGCCGCUUUUCAAAAUAAGAGUCCUGCAUUUAUAUCAAAAUUGAACAACAUAAUAUAGCUCCAAAAGCUCAAAAUAUGCCAAAAUGUUAUUUAAACAAAUUAAAUUUAGUUUUUGUUUAGCACCUAUGAAAUUGGUACGCUGGUCACAUCAAAUUUGUCUCACUGUGCCUUGAAUAGCAAUUAAGCAUAGUAGGGUGUUGUUGAAUGCAUCUGUAGACAUCUCUUCUAACAUCUCAAUGUGAAUAGCUCUUGAACAAAAACAGGUCAGAAGCAGACAAUACCUUUUGUGUUGCUUUCUGCCCUCCUUAGUCAUGAAAGGACCAAAGCAAUCUAUACCACAGUACGUAAAGGGUGAGGAAGGUUCCACACGUUCUGUAGGCAGAUCACUCAUCCUUUGACCUUCAGCAGAUUUUCUUAGCCUUCUACAAGUUACACAGUUGUGGAUGUAUAAAGUGAUAGCUCUGUUUAUUCCAGGUAUCCAAUAGGCACAAGACCUGAUAUCAUUGAUUGUGAAUCCCUUUCCUUGGUGCUUCAUUCUUUCAUGACUGUGUGCAAUUAUUAAUUUGGUUAUGUGAUGUUCUCUGGGAAUAAUCAAGGGAUGUUUGAAUGAGUGAGUGAAUGAUGAAUGACUUAAUCUUCCUCCCACCCUGACCAUAUUGUCUGUGUCUAUGAAAGCAUCAAGGUGGUGUAAUUUAUUAUCGCCUGGAAGUUGUUUUCUUAGAUUCAAAAUAUCUCCUUCUGAUAGACUUGCCUUUGCACUCCCUUUAAGAGCAAAUGUUUUGCCUUCUCUUGUUCACUCACAGUUGCAGGUGAAUUUGUUUAAUCCUUCCUACUUAGUCUCAAAAGGCGUGCAAUGGCUUUGACAGCUGUCUUCAGUUGUUUGUUUGUGGGUCUUUCUGCCUUUAGUUUUGCCUUCAGCAAAUGCAUGUUCAAUCGAGUUGAGAUCAGCUGAUUGACUCGGCCAUUGCAGAAUAUUACAUUUCCUUUCCUUAAAAAAAACUCCUGGGUUGCUUUUGCAGUGUGUUUUGGAUCAUUGUCCAUCUGUACUGUGAAAUGCCGUCCAAUCAGCUUUGCUGCAUUUGGCUUAAUCUGGGCAGACAGGAUAUUCUAUACACUUCAGAAUUCAUCUGGCUGCUUCUGUCUUCUGACCCAGUGCCACUGGAAGCCAUGCAUGACCAGGCCAUUUGUAUGUUGCUGAGCUCACCAUUACAUUCUUUUUUUCUCAGAAUGUACCAAACUGUACCAAAAUGUUCCUGCUAUCUCUAUGAUGGAUUUGUUUUGUUUAUAAAGCCUAACGAUGGCCUGUUUGACUUGCAUGGAGAGCUCCUUUGAAGGCAUUAUGUAGGUUCACAGCAACAGAUUCCAAGUGCAAAUACCACACUUAGAAUCAAUUCCAGACCUGUUACCUGCUUAAUUGAUGGAGAAAUAAUGAAGGAAUAGCCUACACCUGUCCAUGAAACAGCUUUUUAUUCAACUGUACAAUUACUUUUGGUCCCUUGAAAAAGGGGGCUGUCUACUCUCAAGAGCUGUGAUUCCUAAACCCUUCCUCCAAUUUGGAUUUAAAUAUCCUCAAAUUAAAGCUGAGAGACUUUCAGCCCACUAUAAAUAUACAACAAUAGCUUGAAUAUGUUUUGGUAAAUACCUAAAAAAAAACUAAAAUUGUGCCUGUGUCCAAAUAUAUAUGGACCUAACCGUAUAAUAUAUAUAUAUUAUAUAUGUUACUCUGGGUCCACCAGAAAGUUCCCCUUAGAUGUGACAAAUUCAGAACAUGAAUGUAAAUCCUUGGUCUUGGGUUUGACUAAAGAUCAUAUUCAGAAUAUUUGAAAUAUCCUAAAAUGAUUGUCACACACUGUGUAUACAUUUUACACUAUGUUUUUAGCUUUGUUUGUUUGGCCACAUCAUUAUCACAAGUUAAAACAGACAUCCAUUAAAUCCAGUUCAGUAUGAGCUUGGAUAUUAUAUUACAAUAGGUACAAUAGAUUUGAAUCAAAUCAAAUUUUAUUUGUCACAUACACAUACUGUACAUACAGGGUACAACAUGCAGUGAAAUGAUUUAUGCAACCAAAAUUAUUAUUAUUAUUAUUAUUAUUAUUAUUAUUAUUAUUUUUAUUAUUAUUUAAAAUGAGGGGGAAACAAGCUUCCAUAUUUUUUCUUUCCUUUGCUGCUGUAACAGAAAUUUUCCCACUGCGAAUGAAUAAAGGUAAAUUUUAUGUUAUCUUAUCUUAUGCUUGGACCUCUGUCUUAUUGUAUUAUAUUUUACAGUAUAUUUACAUAUAUGUUUGUUUUGUAAUAUAUUUGUUGUUUAUUUUGUUUCAGAAUUGAAGACUUUAUUUGUUUUCUGAGAGAGAGAGAGAGAGAGAGAGAGAGAGAGAGAUCCUGGUGUCCACUACACAGAGAAUGCAGGAGGACAAGGUAUACUGAGAAUUCUGAUUGGAUGAAGGGGUGGAGUUUAGAACUGCAGAUCGGUGUGAGAGGUUUGUUGUUUGUCUCCUGCGAGUUUUAAGGCUAAUAUAUAGAGUAAAUAACCACUGACAAAGUGUGUUAAAGCGUCUGUAUUUGGCUGACCGAGUGUUAUUACUACUUUUAUUUGUGUAUAUAAUGUGUACAAGAGUAAAGUUUACGACUUGUUUCUUCUGAGUCUGCUGCACAGAGCAGCCGAAGCUACGCUAAUUCUCGUGACUAUCUGACUGCUUUCCUACAGUUUAGUUAACGAUGUGACUGGGAGGAAUUCAUGGACCAGUUGGGACUUACCUCGGACGUGCUUUGGAGUAUCGUUGCUAUGGCGAUAAAGGAUCGUGCUGCUGUUCGGUAGAGGAGGGACUACAGAAAGAUCUACAGCUUCAGAGGAGGGAAUUUCGUGUUCCAGCCGCCUGGGAAGCCGUUCAGCUGAUGGACAUCAAAACACUUGAGACAACUAACUCAGUGGCUCAAGUGUUUUUGGGCUUCACUAUGUUGGGUGACAAUAUCACCCACAUAGUGAAGGUGGAGAGUUGCAGCAGAAGAGCUGCAGUCAUCAGCAUGUCCUCAGUGUCAGUUAUUCUGGAGGUCCUGUUGCUCCUUUUCCUUGGGAUCAUCUUGUGGAGAACACCACGAGGCCAAUCUAAAAUUAAAAGGAUGAACUACGCCUUCUUGGUCUGUGUUCGGAUCCACAUGGUGUUGAAGGUGGUGAUCAUCGCCCUGGUCUGUGCACAACAUUGUCAGGUUCAAUAUGAGAAGAAUAGCAACAUAUGUUUGGUUAUAUGUUAUAAAUGAGUUAAUGUCCUUAGCCAUGGUUUAAAUCAGACUUCCAUUUUGCCUAAAAACGUGUUUUUGUUUAAAAGUAUGUUUAAAAUUGACUUCUGCUUCAAAUGUACAUAGUAAUGGUACCUGAAUCUAUAACUGUUUACUGCUCCACAUAUUCAGAUUUGUAUCUGUAUGUAUAAAGUCUGAUUUAAACCAUGGCUAAGGACAUUAACUCAUUUAUAACAUAUAACUGUUAAAAAGUCUGAAGCUUAUUCAAAGACUCUUGUUUUAAUAGUUAAAUUGUUCAUUGUUUACUUCUGUUUGUUAUUAUUAAUUAUUCAGGAGCAGCAGGAUGGAGGUUCACAACCCGGAGGGUGGGGAACGUGUCAGGGUCAAUUCCUACUGUUUAAAUUGUAAUAUAGUUUUUUGAUGUUUCAGUUGUUUUGUUUGUUGUUUAUUGUAAUUUUAAUUGUUCAUUGUAUUUGUUUUGUAUUUAUUUAAUUUUUUUGUGUGUACAUAUUUCUUAUUCUACUGGGUCACGGGGAACCUGGAGUCUAUUACCGGGUACAAGGCAUUUGUAUCCACAUUAAAUAGAGAAAUGUGAACUGUUUUCUGUUUUUUUUUUUUUUUU